CAUCCGCUCCUCCCCUCCUUCUGUACCACACCACACUCUGCCUCCUUAAGGGGACCACAACCUCCUCACUCAUCACCAGUUCCUUUACACAGAAAAGAAGCGGAACACCCAAAGAGAGCACAUGCUGAGCUGCACACCCUCCUUCACCAAGUCUCACUUUCUCCUGUCUGGCCUGUGCCCUUCUCUGAAGGUUCUGUGCCCACUCACAGCACUCUGCCUUCAGGACCAGGACCUGCGCAAUCACACACAAACCCUACUCAGAAGGGGCCAAAGUGCAGUUUAAUGAGCUGUCACGUCUGGAAUGCCUCCACUUUUGAACUAGAGGCCCAGUGUGUUUUGCCGGCACCGUGGAGCUGGAAACCUGCAGCACACACACGGAUGAUGAGCAAAAUACAAAUAAUCACCCUCUACAACCAGCUGAAACAGACCCGACCCACAUGAAACAUGUACAUAUGUAGCCGUGUGUCUGCAAGUAUGCUUCUUAGGAGCAUGUUGACACAAGGGCUCAGUCGAAUGCUUUCCUAGCAUGGACAAGGACCUGGGUUCAGUUUCCAGCGCAAGAAUGGAAAAAGGAACGAUAAAAAUGGAUUAAGUGUAAGAAGAAAAGGACACACACAAGAAGCAAGAAUGGGAGGGACAUUUAUUUCCUACUUCUAUCUGUACACAGCAAUUACGUUAGGUAAAUGCAUCCCUUUUCACUUCUGCAGACACCACCUUGUACCGCGGUUUACAGCAGACUGGGUAGUGCAUUCGUAACAUCAACAAAAGGGGAGUAAGAUGGGUGCAUGCAACAAGAAUGAGGAGACUGAAAAAUGUUAUCUCCCUUGUCCACGUACUGGUUUCGAUAAAACACGGAAAGCAGUAACUUUGGUCAUCGCAUGCGUGAGCUGACUAGGCGAACAUCUGCAGAGACUGGCUGAAGGUCAUUUGAAGAAUACAUGCCUGAUUAAGGUUAACGAAAUAAAUAAGGAAGGGUGUGUCUACUGAUGGUGAAAUAUUCACUAAACAAAUGUGUGAAACAUUUUAUUGUCUCCUUCUGGCGAAACAGCUCACUGUAACAAUACAUGAGGGCCUGGGCCAGAUCCUCAGCCCAAGGUGGGGGAAAGAAUCAUAAGGGAAAACAAACUUGCCACUUCAUUAAUGUUCAUUCUCAAGAAGGCAAAGAUGUAUCAUUCAUUAACAGGGAGGGUUUUGAUUCUGCCCAGUGUAUGAGAAUGAGUCUACAUGCCGGUGUCGGCAUGAUUCUCGUGUGCUGCUCCAUUUGUGUUUAAAAAGACAGGAAUUACUCUUAGUAUCGAGGCAUAAUUUUUUAAUGGUUUUCUUCUUAUUUUCUAACUCUGUGUAUGUAUGUGUUCUGGUGGGGGUCCAUGCACGUGAGGUCCAGACGCCAAAGGCAUCACAUCCCUUGGAGCUGCAGUCAAAGGUGGUUGUAAGCUGCGUGACAUGCAUAUUGGAGGACACUUACUAAAACAUACACACCACUGAGAUAAAGAGAAACAUGAGUUCAUCUGAGUGAAGAGAAAAAUUAAGGGAAGCAAGUACGUAUGGGU